UUAUCUCUCCCUAAUAACCUUUUGCUCCUUAUUUCCCUAAUAAUAUUAAUUAUAUACGUUGUAAAGCCUUGCUGUCAUGGCUUUAUUCGCUGUUUCCUCGGAUGUAAAUUCUUCUAAUAUUCAUUAAGCUUUUAAACUCCUCUUCUUGAUUGCAAUUUUUUUCCAAUAUUGAGUGACUUUUGAUUUUUUCACUCAACUUAAUAAAUCAGAUUUCCUGUUAAAUUACUUUCUGUACUUGUUCCACACAAUGGCUUAUCUCUUAAACAUAUAGCUUCUUUCUUCUGUCUUGUUCACCACCUUGUCUCUCUAACAAAACUCCUUUACUCAACAUAAGCACUUAGAGGCAGGACAGACCCAAUAAAAAGAGAGAAAACACCAAUUUUAAACACCUGGAUAAUUGUUACUGUGAUAUCUCAUCUAACCACCCUACCAUCAACCAUGCACUCACCUUUUGUAGCCACAGUCCAUCGUACAAGGUCCUGAGCUAUAGUUUCCUUAAUCUGAUCCCAUAUGCUUUGCUUCUUUUUAGAAUUCUUCCCUGCUCUGGUCCUCUAUAAUUUAUUCUCCUUAUUUUUGAAGAUGGUUACAUAUUUAUAUUGUUUCUUAAAUUUCUAGGCAUUUAUUUCAGGAGAGGAAGUCUAUAGUUUGUGCUCAGUUCUUCUUAAAACACAAGCCACCACAGCUUUCCUAGGAAUGCCAGAAUUUCACUAAACUGGAGUUUCAACAGGACUUGAAAACCUCAUUUCAGAAUUAGAACAGGGAAUACUAAUCAAAAUUCAUGAUAAUAAUCUUAAGUCAUUAAGAAAGAUGUUUUAAAUCUUUCUUAUAUUCUACUGAAAAAGACAGGAAACUAUGUAAUACAUCUUGGAAAGCAUCCUAUUUCUCUUUUUAUUUGUGAUAUUUCCAUCUUCCCUAUUCCCACCAGCCAAAAAUAUAUUCAAAUUUCUGUAUCCAAAAAAGACCUUAUCUACUUUUUCCUCAGGUUUCUGUCACCAGUUCUUUCCUUCUUAUCAUCACCAGACUUCAUAAGAGUUGCUGAAAGUUACUUCACAAUUCUAUCCCUAGCCCAUUGGAUGUUGGUUUCUGCUUCUACUGUCUUGCUGAAACUUGUCUUAAAUGUCAUCAAAAACUGCCCAGUUGCCAAAAUCAUCAGCUUGUUUCUUGGUUUAUUUCAUUCCAUCUUUGUUUCCACUGAUAAUUCCUAUCCAGUUAGGAUUCAUAGCUUUUCUUCUUUGUGUUCACAGCAUGUCACAACAAUCUUGAGACUUUGAACAGCACGUGUCUCACACUCCUGUAUAUAUUUACCCAGCAUUAUAUCUUACUAGAGCCUUCAGAUUAUAUAGCAAAGUGGCUAUAUAGAGAGUCAAUGUAAAAGGAAGCCAUGGAGACUUCUAUUCAAGAUGAUGCUGCAACUGAGGAUGUGCUGCAAUCUCCCACGCUUUCAAAUGUUUGUUCAAUUGAAUUAAUCUGAGAUUUGUAUAAAGUUUGUAAAGCCAUGGCUCUUGUAUUCCAGUUCUGGAGUGAUGCUGUUUUUUAAAGAAGGGUGAUAAAAGCAGAAAUGUCUAUCUUUAUAACACUCUCCAAGUUUUAAUGGGGCUGAAAAACGUGGUCCAAAGCAAUGUUCAUUAAAAAUUUCAUUCUCUGAUCUCUUAGGUUUGUUUUGUUCUUCUACCUCAAAUAAACUCUUAUGCAUCCUGGUUUGACAUCACCAUCUUGGUCACCACUUCCUCUCUGCUCCUCUCAACACUGCCCAAGAAGUCUUAUCACUGUACCACAAGAUCCCUGGGGGUGUGAGGUUCCUCUUCUACUUUCAUCGAUUUUACCUUAAGAAUAAACUGAUGCAUCUUUUUGUCCUUUUCUCUUCUUAGAGAGCAGGAGAAGAAGAAACAAAUGAACUUCUUUAUUAAUUUUUAUGCUGCCAGGCUUAGAAUAAGUAUUUCUGAGAUAUAUUAGAGAUUUCUAAAACAUUUGCUUGUUUUCUACUCAAAACAACCACUUAUACAAUAUUCCUUUUUGCUCUACCAAGGAUAAAUUUCACUUACUAAGAAUCUCAGGCCUACAUAUUCUUCCUGAGAAUCAGAUUCACCAUGCACCAAUUACUCUAUCUCCUGCUUGAGUUCCAUGACACAGAACUCUCACAGAACAAGUUAAGGGAAGCAACUUCAUUACUCAUACAUAGGCAGCAGGGAACAAUAGAAGCACAGGAUUUACGGCAAGCUGAUCCCCCAAGUCUCAGGAAAGUUUCUGAGGGUGGAUGGAGUCUUGUCUGCAAAUACCCCACAUCUCACUGCAGCUAAGGAAACCUGAAAACCCAAUACCUUGGGUUUUAUAUCCCGGGGCAAUUGCACUCACUGGGCUAAAGCAUUGUAGGUCAUUCUGUGGUGGGAGGGACAGAAAUGAAGCCCAACCAGUUCCUCUUUAUCUCAGAAUGUUGCAUUUCCAGCACAUUCUGCAGUUAUUCUUGAGAACUGUAAGCAAGAAAGGGGGAAAAAGCUGGGUCACCAAGGUCCAUCCAGAGACCUGUCCUGCACUUCCCUGUCUACUUCAGAUGUUGUCACUUAUGUCUCUAAAACAGAGCCCCUUAGAACAUAAAGGCUUUUGACAUAAGACAUUUUCUGGAAGUAAAACUGGCUUCUCAAAAUUUGUCAAAAGUCAAUACAAAACCUUCUGUGCCUGCUUUAGUGUGCUAGAAUUGCCACAUUUGCUGCACCAGGAAAAGGAAUCUUUUAACUCAUUGUUUACCAUUCUUAUUAUGAAAACAGCACAUAGCACGCAUGAUAAAAGAAUUAUUAGCAAAAUAUAAAGUAAAUUAACAUUGAAUAUUUCCACUGAUGUCUGCCUGUAUAUGUGGUACUGUCUAUAUACUUCCAUGAAAAUCAACUAUUGCUUAAAGGUUGAGGCUUAUAUGUAGACCUUAGAAACUGCAUUGUGGUUUUCCUCUUCCUUCUGAACCCAUCUAUCUUCUUUCUUUUGGAAAUUCCCCACCAAUUCAAGGGUAUUUCUUAUGUAUUACUUUACUAAAUCAAAUUAAUAAACAAUCCAGGAAAAUCCUUUAUGCAGCCAUUUGUUCUUUAUGUUUUCUUUGUCUGAUUUUUAAAAUAAUAUAAUCUGCUUUGAAAUUUUCAUCAGGAUCAUGAAGAUUAUUUGAUCCAAACACUGUUCUGAAAAUGCAAUUUCUAAGAAGCUUAAAUAACCCAUGCAUAAUAGAGAGAAAAAAACCACCCGAAUAUGAUGUUUCCUCUC
rnacentral:lncRNA from 1 species